CAAACGUUGCGAGCUGCCAAGCGACUCCAACAGUCGAACUAGGUGGAGCAGUCGAGGUCGGCGGGAGCAGCCAAUGGAGAGGAAGCUCUCAGAGGCGUCGAAGCGGGCGGCCCCGUCGCCCAUCCAGCAGCUCUCCCACCUCGCGCAGCGCGUCGGCGCCGUCAACCUCGCCGAGGGGUUCCCCGACUUCCCCGCGCCUGCCCACGUCAAGGCCGCCGCCGCCGCCGCCAUCGCCGCCGACCUCAACCAGUACAGGCAUGUGCAGGGGGUCUGCGACGUGCUCGCGGCGACGAUGAAACGGGACCACGGCCUCGACGUCGACCCCCUCACGGACUUCGCCAUCUGCUGCGGGCAAUCCGAGGCCUUCGCCGCGGCAGUAUUUGCAGUUAUAGACCCAGGGGAUGAGGUUCUGCUCUUCGACCCGGCUUACGAAACGUAUCAAACAUGCAUUGAGCUGGCCCGUGGUGUUCCUGUGUAUGUGCCAUUGGAUCCACCUUCUUGGACACUGGACGCAGAUAAAUUUUUGAAGUCGUUUACUAGUCGGACAAAGGCAGUGAUCUUAAAUAGGGAAAGGCUGCGUACUAUAGACCCAAAGUGGUCGGACCCUUCCCUGGACCCUGCGCAAGCGGGAGCUACAUGCACCAGCCCACAUAAUCCAACAGGGAAGGUCUUUAGCAAGGAGGAAUUGCUUAUUAUUUCUCAAGCUUGUCAGCAAAUGGACUGCUUUGCAAUAACUGACGAGGUUUAUGAGUAUAUUACUUAUGAUGAGAACAAGCAUAUCUCUCUGGCUUCUCUUCCAGGAAUGCAAGAGAGGACAAUCAUCACAUCCUCACUGUCAAAAACAUACAGUGUAACUGGUUGGAGAAUUGGUUGGGCUUGUGCUGCAGCAAACAUAGCCGCAGCAAUAAGAAAUAUCCAUGUCAAACUGACAGAUUCAGCUCCUGCACCAUUCCAAGAAGCUGCCUUGAUUGCGCUAACCAGCACACCAGACUACUAUGAGUCCCUUAAAAAAGACUAUGCAGAGUGAAGAGACUUCAUUCUUCAGUUACUGAAAAAUUAUGGUUUCUACAUUAGCUUCAAGCCACAAGGUUCAGUCUUUGUCUUUGCUGAGUUGCCCAAGUCCUGGCAAAUUUCCGACAUAGAUUUUGUGACGCACUUGAUCAACAAUGCUGGUGUGGCGGCAGUACCUGGUCGUGGCUUCUUCCACACAGAUGCCGACGACCAAAGUUACCAUCACCAUUAUGUGAGGUUUGCGUUUUGCAAGAGUGAUGAGACCCUCAAGGCUGCUGCCCAGAAGAUGAAGCCGGUUAAAAGCAAUGGAAAAGUGUCACAUGACACAUAAAGGUUUUGCAUGUCCGAGAAAGGAAGGAAUGAACAUGUUACCAUGUAAAGAUGCUCGGAGACUGCAACCUAGCCCGUGUUGGAGCUGAUCCUAGCUCCCUUCUUCCACGCGGCUGCUUCACACAACUCGCGUAAAAAUGUUGCCAAAUGUGCAAUAUUUGUGGUUUACCGAUGGUUUUGUGA